rnacentral:rRNA from 1 species
AGAGUUUGAUCAUGGCUCAGAACGAACGUUAGCGGUGUGGAUUAGGCAUGCAAGUCGUGCGCGAAAGCCGCAAGGCGAGUAGAGCGGCGAAAGGGUGAGUAACACGUAACCAACCUACCCCUCAGACCGGAAUAACCGCUGGAAACGGCGGAUAAUGCUGGAUGUUCCCGAUGGAAGGCAUCUUCUGUCUGGCAAAUGGUGGCGCAAGCUGCCGCUGUGGGAGGGGGUUGCGGGCUAUCAGCUAGUUGGCGGGGUAAUGGCCCACCAAGGCGAUGACGGCUACCGGGUCUGAGAGGACGGUCCGGCACACUGGGACUGAGACACUGCCCAGACUCCUACGGGAGGCUGCAGUCGAGAAUCUUCCGCAAUGGGCGAAAGCCUGACGGAGCGACACCGCGUGCAGGAUGAAGGCCUUCGGGUUGUAAACUGCUGUCACGUUUUAGGAACGAACGGGCGUUAAUAGCGCUCGGACUGACCAAGGCGAGAGGAAGCACCGGCUAACUCUGUGCCAGCAGCCGCGGUAAGACAGAGGGUGCAAACGUUGUUCGGAAUUACUGGGCAUAAAGAGCACGUAGGUGGUGCGCUAAGUCACGUGUGAAAUCCCCCGGCUCAACCGGGGAAUUGCGCGUGAUACUGGCGGACUCGAGGCGGGUAGGGGUGAGCGGAACUCCAGGUGGAGCGGUGAAAUGCGUAGAUAUCUGGAGGAACACCGGUGGCGAAAGCGGCUCACUGGACCUGAUCUGACACUGAGGUGCGAAAGCUAGGGUAGCAAACGGGAUUAGAUACCCUAGUAGUCC